GAGAUACCACCGUUAUCGGUUCAAAAUAAAUGAACGCAAAUGAUAAUUUUGCACCUGUUGCCGUAGCUGCUUAAUAGUGAAAGCAACAAAUUAAAAUUCUUUGAAAUUUGGUUUUUUCAAAGUGAGGUUUGGGCCACCUAGCAACAGGACGGCCUAUUU
rnacentral:tmRNA from 1 species